AUACUUACAUGGGCGGGGUCAAUGACCGAUCUGUAAGGGCCAUGGCCUAGGCAUGUGGCCCACAUUGCACUUGGUGUGCGCGCUUUCCUAUCAUCCCCAGAUGGGAGAAUGGACGUCAUAAUUUGUGAUUGGAGGGGCACGCGUGCGCGUGGCCCUUG
rfam:Zea mays cultivar B73 chromosome 5, whole genome shotgun sequence.